GAUGAACGCUGGCGGCGUGCCUAAUACAUGCAAGUCGAACGCUGAAGGAGGAGCUUGCUCUUCUGGAUGAGUCGCGCACGGGUGUGUAACGCGUAGGUAACCCGCCUGGUAGCGGGGGAUAUCUGUUGGAGACGAUAGAUAAUACAGCAUGACAACAGUUAUUGCAUGAUAAUCGUCUGACAGGGGCAACUGCUCUACUACUAGAUGGACCUGCGUUGUAUUAGCUAGUUGGUGAGGUCACGGCGCAACAAGGCGACGAUACAUAGCCGACCUGCAGAGGUGAUCGGCCACACUGGGACUGGGAAAAGGCCCAGACUCCUACGGGGAGCAGCAGUAGGGAAUCUUCGGCAAUGGACGGAAGUCUGGCCGAACAACGCCGCGUGAGGGAAGGAAGGUUUCGGAACGUAAAGCUCUGUUGUAAGGGGAGAACGAGUGGGAGAGUGGAAAGUUCACACUGUGACGGUAUCUAACCAGAAAGGGACGGCUAACUACGUG
rnacentral:rRNA from 1 species